UUAGGCCCUGUUUGGAGUCGCUUAUUUCCCGCUUAUUGGUGAAAAUAAGCGAUAAACCCACCCAAACACCUUGCUUAUUUUCCGCUUGUCACGUAAGCCGCUUAUUGGAGAAUCUGAAAUACAACUAGCACUCCGCUUAUCUCCCACGCGGGUCAGACCACGCUUCUGGGGCAAGCGGAGAAAUUUUCCCCUGGUACCCUCGACCUCCAGGCGACCGCCGCCGCUCCUCCCGCCGCCGCCGCUCCAGAUCCCGCCGCCGCCGCUCCAGAUCCCGCCGCCGCCCCCCUGCAGAUCCCGGCGCCGCCCCUGGGGUCGGCCGGGCCGCGUCCCUACCUCCGGCGGCCGCCCCUGCCAGGCUCCCGCCGCGGGCCGCCGGCCGCCGGACGCCCGCGCCGCCGGACGCCUGGGCGCCGCCCCCGCCGGCCCCGGCGCCGGACGCACCCUCCGCCCCCGCCUGGGCGCCACCUCCGCCGGUCAACGCCCCACCCCCCUGGAUCCGGCUCCACCACCGACGCCUGGACGCCGCCCCGCCGCCGGACUGUACUGCUGCCUGGCCGCCGCCCCGCCGCCGGACGCCCCCACCGCCUGGCCGCCGCCCCGCCGCCGGAGGUCCCCGC
rnacentral:lncRNA from 1 species